rnacentral:rRNA from 1 species
GGGGGGCCGUCCGCCUAUAGUGCGGGUCGUGCGGACAGAUUUGGAGCGUGCUCCUUUGACGUUAGCGGCGGACGGGGGAGUAACACGUGGAUAACCUACCUAUAAGACUGGGAUAACUUCGGGAAACCGGAGCUAAUACCGGAUAACAUAUUGAACCGCAUGGUUCAAUACAGAAAGGCGGCUUUGCUGUCACUUAUAGAUGGAUCCGCGCCGUAUUAGCUAGUUGGUAAGGUAACGGCUUACCAAGGCAACGAUACGUAGCCGACCUGAGAGGGUGAUCGGCCACACUGGAACUGAGACACGGUCCAGACUCCUACGGGAGGCAGCAGUAGGGAAUCUUCCGCAAUGGGCGAAAGCCUGACGGAGCAACGCCGCGUGAGUGAUGAAGGUCUUCGGAUCGUAAAACUCUGUUAUCAGGGAAGAACAAAUGUGUAAGUAACUGUGCACAUCUUGACGGUACCUGAUCAGAAAGCCACGGCUAACUACGUGCCAGCAGCCGCGGUAAUACGUAGGUGGCAAGCGUUAUCCGGAAUUAUUGGGCGUAAAGCGCGCGUAGGCGGUUUUUUAAGUCUGAUGUGAAAGCCCACGGCUCAACCGUGGAGGGUCAUUGGAAACUGGAAAACUUGAGUGCAGAAGAGGAAAGUGGAAUUCCAUGUGUAGCGGUGAAAUGCGCAGAGAUAUGGAGGAACACCAGUGGCGAAGGCGACUUUCUGGUCUGUAACUGACGCUGAUGUGCGAAAGCGUGGGGAUCAAACAGGAUUAGAUACCCUGGUAGUCCACGCCGUAAACGAUGAGUGCUAAGUGUUAGGGGGGUUUCCGCCCCUUAGUGCUGCAGCUAACGCAUUAAGCACUCCGCCCUGGGGAGUACGACCGCAAGGUUGAAACUCAAAGGAAUUGACGGGGACCCGCACAGCGGUGGAGCAUGUGGUUUAUUUCGAAGCACGCGAAGAACCUUACCAAAUCUUGACAUCCUUUGACCGCUCUAGAGAUAGAGUCUUCCUCUUCGGGGACAAGUGACAGGUGGUGCAUGAUGUCGUCAGCUUCGUGUCAUGGAGAUGUUGGGUUAAGUCCCGCAACGAAGCGCAUCCCUUAGCUUUAGUUGCGAUCA